rnacentral:lncRNA from 1 species
GAUAAUGGUGCCAUGUUAAAUCUGAGAAGACAGGGAUGUGUCGCUGCUUUUAAUAAGAAUGGUUCUGGUUAUGAUCUUGAUAUGUUUUAUCUUUACGUUGACUCAGUCAGUUUAGACACAGCUGCUUGUGCUCAGAAGCCUAACGAGAGCAUCUAUCGUGCUAUAACCCAGACCCCCGAGGAGGAUUAUCUGUUUAUUAUAAAGGGAAAGAUAAGAGUUCAUUUCAAACCUGGUGUGCA